AGGUUAUUUGCAUGACUUCCUUGUAAUUUGGCACACUCCACAGGAACAUUGUGGUGUUUACGAUCAAUUGUGUGCCUUUUAGUGUUGUUCCACUAAUCAAGAAGUGUUACCUCUGCAAAAUCAUCAUCACUCCUCUUACAACUUGAAAACCUUAAGGUUGUUGCUUAUAGGGUUGAGCUCCUUGUGAUACAUUGAAAUAUCCCAUCAGCCAUUUCUCUUCCAAUAAUCCUUUUGAGAUACCACUUAAUUAGUUCCCCAUGAUCAUUUGCCUUAAGAGAAUCUCCAGCAGAUUGCUCAUAUUCCAUUACCAAAAUAUUUUCUCUCUCCAUCCCCAUUAGAUGAUUUUGCGUUUUUGGAGAUCGCUGCUACAGCAGACUACCAAAAAUCAAUCUCCAAUACUCCCCUGACAUGUGGGACCGGCAUGUCAUAAAUCUAUUUAUUUUUUCCCUUUUCCUUUUUACUUCCUCCCGACCCUAUCUCUCUCAUGUGGUUCCUUUUUCCCCUUCGACCCGAUCUCUC
rnacentral:lncRNA from 1 species